GAUUGCCUCAGUAACGGCGAGUGAAGCGGCAACAGCUCAAAUUUGAAAUCUGGCCUCCUUGCGGGGUCCGAGUUGUAGUUUGCAGAGGAUGCUUUGGGCAAGGCGCCUUCCGAGUGCCCUGGAACGGGACGCCGCAGAGGGUGAGAGCCCCCUACGGUUGGUGGCCGAGCCUGUGUAAAGCUCCCUCGACGAGUCGAGUAGUUUGGGAAUGCUGCUCUAAAUGGGAGGUACACCCCUUCUAAAGCUAAAUACCCGCCAGAGACCGAUAGCGCACAAGUAGAGUGAUCGAAAGAUGAAAAGCACUUUGAAAAGAGAGUUAAACAGCACGUGAAAUUGUUGAAAGGGAAGCGCUUGUGGCCAGACUCGGGCCCGGUGGCUCAGCCGUCCCUCGCGGGCGGUGCACUCUGCCGGGCCUGGGCCAGCAUCAGCUUGUGGCGGGGGAGAAAGGCGGUGGGAACGUGGCUCUUCGGAGUGUUAUAGCCCGCCGUCAUGCCCCGCCGCGGGCUGAGGUUCGCGCUCCGCAAGGAUGCUGGCGUAAUGGCCACCAGCGACCCGUCUUGAAACACGGACCAAGGAGUCGUCCUAGCAUGCGAGUGUUCGGGUGCAAAGCCCCUACGCGGAAUGAAAGUGAACGUAGGUGGGAGCCUCUGGCGCACCACCGACCGAUCCUGAUGUUCUCGGAUGGAUUUGAGUAAGAGCAUGCUGGGCCGGACCCGAAAGAAGGUGAACUAUGCUUGGAUAGGGCAAAGCCAGAGGAAACUCUGGUGGAGGCUCGCAGCGGUUCUGACGUGCAAAUCGAUCGUCAAAUCUGAGCAUGGGGGCGAAAGUGAGUGCCAACCCGGGCUUUUGCAUACAUACGUACAGUGGACGCAGUGCUAACGUUCAGCAGGACUAAUCGAACCUUCUAGUAGCUGGUUUCCGCCGAAGUUUCCCUCAGGAUAGCAGUGUUGAGCUUCAGUUUUAUGAGGUAAAGCGAAUGAUUAGGGACUCGGGGGCGCUAUUUAGCCUUCAUCCAUUCUCAAACUUUAAAUAUGUAAGAAGCCCUCGUUACUUCAGUGAACGUGGGCAUUCGAAUGUAUCAACACUAGUGGGCCAUUUUUGGUAAGCAGAACUGGCGAUGCGGGAUGAACCGAUCGCGAGGUUAAGGUGCCGGAGUGGACGCUCAUCAGACACCACAAAAGGUGUUAUCACAUCUUGACAGCAGGACGGUGGCCAUGGAAGUCGGAAUCCGCUAAGGACUGUGUAACAACUCACCUGCCGAAUGUGAUAGCCCUGAAAAUGGAUGGCGCUCAAGCGUCCCACCCAUACCUCGCCUUCAGGGUAGGAACGAUGCCCUGAAGAGUAGGCGGACGUGGGGGUCCGUGACGAAGGCCAGGG
rnacentral:rRNA from 1 species